rnacentral:rRNA from 1 species
AGUUUGAUCCUGGCUCAGGAUGAACGCUAGCGGCAGGCUUAAUACAUGCAAGUCGUGGGGCAGCAUGACUGUAGCAAUACAGUUGAUGGCGACCGGCAAACGGGUGCGGAACACGUACACAACCUUCCUUUUAGUGGAGAAUAGCCCAGGGAAACUUGGAUUAAUACUCCGUAACAUAUAGAAGUGGCAUCACUUUUAUAUUAUAGCCGCAAUGCGCUAGAAGAUGGGUGUGCGGCUGAUUAGAUAGUUGGCGGGGUAACGGCCCACCAAGUCGACGAUCAGUAACUGGUGUGAGAGCACGACCUGUCACACGGGCACUGAGACACGGGCCCGACUCCUACGGGAGGCAGCAGUAAGGAAUAUUGGUCAAUGGACGCAAGUCUGAACCAGCCAUGCCGCGUGGAGGAUGAAGGUCCUCUGGAUUGUAAACUUCUUUUAUCUGGGAAGAAAUCCAUUUUUUCUAAAAUGGUUGACGGUACCAGAUGAAUAAGCACCGGCUAACUCCGUGCCAGCAGCCGCGGUAAUACGGAGGGUGCAAGCGUUAUCCGGAUUCACUG